GUGUCUACUUCUUACAAUCCGGCAACAAAUAAAUUGCACUGCGAACAAAGUAUAUCAACAAAGAAAACAUUUUUGUUUCAUAAUUUCUUCGUUAUAUUCCCUUACAAAGCUAGCUUUAACGCUUCGAGGUUUCCUUUGUUCUUGCCGUCGCCUCGGCGCUUGACCCAGACUUUCGCUCUGUAGUUGCUUAGUACUACAAAAAAUUCUAAAUCUGUGAUAUAUGAUUGAUAAACGUAAAGUUAACUGUAUAAACGUGUUCAAUGACUUUGUUACUUUUGAUGAUUGGAGAGCACUCGCUUCAAUUUGCACACGAAAACUUUAGACUCAGUUUGAAUGCUCACGCAGCAUGCCCACGUGACUGUACGUUGCACGCGUACAUGACUUUCCGUUUGUGCCUUGAAUAAUGAAUAAGGCUACAGCCACACGUACCAGCGUAUUUUUGAAACCGCUGAUUUUUCUAUGUGUUUGCACCUUUUGUCCACACGUAAUGUAUGUCUGGCCGUACAUUGUGUUUGUAUUUCCAGGCACAUUUCACGGGAACGCAGUCUUCAGAGAUCUCUACGUGAACGCUGUGAUCUGACCUUCAGUCCGAAGAAGAAACCCAGACCAGUCUUAAAAGAAAGCACAAACCAAAUCCCCUGUACACAUAUACGGACUCAGAGGAUGAGCAGCCUACAAAAAAACCGGUUUCCCCAGGCCCCUCGAGUGAAAAUACCAGCCCUCAUCACUCCGCAGUCUGCCCCCCAGCCCACUGAUAGCAACCAUCAUAAUGCCCCACCCAGCUUCCGGCACCUUUCGCCACUCCGGCACAAACCGACACAGCUUUGCGAUCUCGCCAGCAUGCAGAGUCUGAUGUCUUCCCUAUAGAUGAUUCCAGAGACUCUGUGAGGCCACUAUUACAAGGCAAGUUUGAAAAUCUUGGAAUUUCACAGUUUACAUGGUAUAACAAAUAUAUGUGACAGGCAAAAACUAGUAAACACUUUUAGCAGUUACAAGAACUAACACAUGAAUAUCCAACAAAAGGGAAUAGAAAUACAUUGUACUGCCAAUACUUUGGUUUAUUCUUUGUAUGACUUGAAAAUCAGGCUUUAGGGAAAACUAAAUGACAUGUUUCUAUCAUCAAUUACAUGAAGUAAACACACAAGCACUUGCAUACACAUUUAAGACAUGAGACACGCUAAUUCCAUCUCUUAAAAUGUGUCUAUAGGUGAGACGCUUUGCGUUGAUUGGUGCUACUGGACCACACUGGAGGUGCGAGUCCGCCGUGUAAUGGUUUAUGCCAUUACAAAGGAGCUGGCCUCUGUACUCAACUGGGCAGGGGAAAAAAACCAAGGACCAGACAAAGCAAAAAAGGGCAUUUAAAGAGACAGCGCUGUGCAGAUGCAUAUUUGGUAAGUUUUAACAUUUAUUGUAGUUUUAUGAGCCUAAAGUGAACAAUAAAGGGAUCAAUUGAUGUGCUGGGUGCGUUUCACAUUUCCUAUGUCUGGUUUUUGCUAUAUUACUUUGUCUUUCUUAAUAACAAGACUUUCAUGUCCGGUUAAUCUGGAGAUGGAGUCUUUGGUCUUCGGCUUGUUUUGUCCUCGGGUUGUACACUUUGUACAGCCCGAGGACCCCAUGUUUUCUUUUUUUUUUUUUUUUUUUUUAAAGGAUACACGGCACACCAUGCUAAGACAUAUCACAUUUUCAGCUUAUAGCUCUUUGGGAAUCAAAUGCGGCAGUUUGCUGAUUUCCGCCUGGUGACUUUCAUGUUUAUCAGCCUAGGAGUUUACAUACUUUCUCACUGCUGAAGACAGUUAACAAGAGCUUAUUCAUGUGCUCUAAUUCCCUUUUUUUUGUCUUUGUUUUUUUGUGUGUGUGUCUAUUUUUGUCCUAGAUGGCCUGGCGCAGCAGGUAGGGGCGAACUCUAUGUCUGAGUUGGUCUUUGCUCAAGCAGUCCAGAAAUGGCUCAGAUAUGCUCCAGAUUGUACGGGUGGCGCGCAGGACGCACAUCAUCCAUCCCCAUCCCGGAGUAAAUAAUAAAAAGUGACGUGAAACAUAGAAAUGUAAAUAGGAAACUUUGUCUUUUAAUAAAGUAUUUUGCAAAUGAUACAUGUCUAUUGACCUUUUUUGUUUUUUUUGUUUUUUGUUUUCAAUAAAAAGCAACUGUGCGAAAGAGGUGGAAAAUUAAUACCAUAGCUCAACAGUGUUUCAAUAUCAGAAUCUGACAUUGUUUCAAUGUCAACAGUGUUAGAAAAUAUAACGUAGAAUCAAUGUCAGGUUUCAACAUUGAUUCAACAUCAAAACCUGACAUUGUUUCAACGUUAAAAAUGGGUGCAAGAGUGAUGUUGGGUCAACGUCACACUUCAACGUUGCUUCAAUGACGUCGCCUGAUAUUGACUCAACAUUGUUUCAAUGUUUCCUUGCUAUCUGGGGAUACAUUGUCAGAUAAUGUUUAUCAUAUAAAGGGUGUCUAAUUUUUGGAAUAAGUACAAUUAUCUGUUUUGGAGGUUUAGGUAUUGAUGGUAACUUGCAG
rnacentral:lncRNA from 1 species